AACGGUUUCGAAUCGAUGUAUA
rnacentral:miRNA from 1 species